AAAUUGAAGAGUUUGAUCAUGGCUCAGAUUGAACGCUGGCGGCAGGCCUAACACAUGCAAGUCGAACGGUAACAGGAAGCAGCUUGCUGCUUCGCUGACGAGUGGCGGACGGGUGAGUAAUGUCUGGGAAACUGCCUGAUGGAGGGGGAUAACUACUGGAAACGGUGGCUAAUACCGCAUAACGUCGCAAGACCAAAGAGGGGGACCUUCGGGCCUCUUGCCAUCAGAUGUGCCCAGAUGGGAUUAGCUUGUUGGUGAGGUAACGGCUCACCAAGGCGACGAUCCCUAGCUGGUCUGAGAGGAUGACCAGCCACACUGGAACUGAGACACGGUCCAGACUCCUACGGGAGGCAGCAGUGGGGAAUAUUGCACAAUGGGCGCAAGCCUGAUGCAGCCAUGCCGCGUGUAUGAAGAAGGCCUUCGGGUUGUAAAGUACUUUCAGCGGGGAGGAAGGUGUUGUGGUUAAUAACCGCAGCAAUUGACGUUACCCGCAGAAGAAGCACCGGCUAACUCCGUGCCAGCAGCCGCGGUAAUACGGAGGGUGCAAGCGUUAAUCGGAAUUACUGGGCGUAAAGCGCACGCAGGCGGUCUGUCAAGUCGGAUGUGAAAUCCCCGGGCUCAACCUGGGAACUGCAUUCGAAACUGGCAGGCUUGAGUCUUGUAGAGGGGGGUAGAAUUCCAGGUGUAGCGGUGAAAUGCGUAGAGAUCUGGAGGAAUACCGGUGGCGAAGGCGGCCCCCGACAAAGACUGACGCUCAGGUGCGAAAGCGUGGGGAGCAAACAGGAUUAGAUACCCUGGUAGUCCACGCCGUAAACGAUGUCUACUUGGAGGUUGUGCCCUUGAGGCGUGGCUUCCGGAGCUAACGCGUUAAGUAGACCGCCUGGGGGAGUACGGCCGCAAGGUUAAAACUCAAAUGAAUUGACGGGGGCCCGCACAAGCGGUGGAGCAUGUGGUUUAAUUCGAUGCAACGCGAAGAACCUUACCUGGUCUUGACAUCCACAGAAGAAUCCAGAGAUGGAUUUGUGCCUUCGGGAACUGUGAGACAGGUGCUGCAUGGCUGUCGUCAGCUCGUGUUGUGAAAUGUUGGGUUAAGUCCCGCAACGAGCGCAACCCUUAUCCUUUGUUGCCAGCGGUUAGGCCGGGAACUCAAAGGAGACUGCCAGUGAUAAACUGGAGGAAGGUGGGGAUGACGUCAAGUCAUCAUGGCCCUUACGACCAGGGCUACACACGUGCUACAAUGGCGCAUACAAAGAGAAGCGACCUCGCGAGAGCAAGCGGACCUCAUAAAGUGCGUCGUAGUCCGGAUUGAGUCUGCAACUCGACUCCAUGAAGUCGGAAUCGCUAGUAAUCGUGGAUCAGAAUGCCACGGUGAAUACGUUCCCGGGCCUUGUACACACCGCCCGUCACACCAUGGGAGUGGGUUGCAAAAGAAGUAGGUAGCUUAACCUUCGGGAGGGCGCUUACCACUUUGUGAUUCAUGACUGGGGUGAAGUCGUAACAAGGUAACCGUAGGGGAACCUGCGGUUGGAUCACCUCCUUACCUUAAAGAAGC
rnacentral:rRNA from 1 species